UACGAAGGGGGCUAGCGUUGUUCGGAAUUACUGGGCGUAAAGCGCACGUAGGCGGCUUUCUAAGUCAGGGGUGAAAUCCUGGAGCUCAACUCCAGAACUGCCUUUGAUACUGGAGAGCUUGAGUCCGGGAGAGGUGAGUGGAACUCCGAGUGUAGAGGUGAAAUUCGUAGAUAUUCGCAAGAACACCAGUGGCGAAGGCGGCUCACUGGCCCGGUACUGACGCUGAGGUGCGAAAGCGUGGGGAGCAAACAGG
rnacentral:rRNA from 1 species